UGGCGUGCUUUAACACAUGCAAGUCGAGCGAAUGGAUUAAGAGCUUGCUCUUAUGAAGUUAGCGGCGGACGGGUGAGUAACACGUGGGUAACCUGCCCAUAAGACUGGGAUAACUCCGGGAAACCGGGGCUAAUACCGGAUAACAUUUUGAACCGCAUGGUUCGAAAUUGAAAGGCGGCUUCGGCUGUCACUUAUGGAUGGACCCGCGUCGCAUUAGCUAGUUGGUGAGGUAACGGCUCACCAAGGCAACGAUGCGUAGCCGACCUGAGAGGGUGAUCGGCCACACUGGGACUGAGACACGGCCCAGACUCCUACGGGAGGCAGCAGUAGGGAAUCUUCCGCAAUGGACGAAAGUCUGACGGAGCAACGCCGCGUGAGUGAUGAAGGCUUUCGGGUCGUAAAACUCUGUUGUUACGGGAAGAACAAGUGCUAGUGAAUAAGCUGACACUUGAUCGUCAUCCAG
rnacentral:rRNA from 1 species